CGGGGUGAGUAACGCGUGAGGAACCUGCCUCAGANAGGGGGAUAACACACCGAAAGGUGUGCUAAUACCGCAUAACAUAUGANAGGGGCAUCCCUUUCAUAUCAAAGAUUUAUUGCUCUGAGAUGGCCUCGCGUCCAAUUAGCUAGUUGGUGAGGUAACGGCCCACCAAGGCGACGAUUGGUAGCCGGACUGAGAGGUUGAACGGCCACAUUGGGACUGAGACACGGCCUAGACUCCUACGGGAGGCAGCAG
rnacentral:rRNA from 1 species